GAUGAACGCUGGCGGCGUGCCUAAUACAUGCAAGUCGAGCGAACGGACGAGAAGCUUGCUUCUCUGAUGUUAGCGGCGGACGGGUGAGUAACACGUGGAUAACCUACCUAUAAGACUGGGAUAACUUCGGGAAACCGGAGCUAAUACCGGAUAAUAUUUUGAACCGCAUGGUUCAAAAGUGAAAGACGGUCUUGCUGUCACUUAUAGAUGGAUCCGCGCUGCAUUAGCUAGUUGGUAAGGUAACGGCUUACCAAGGCAACGAUGCAUAGCCGACCUGAGAGGGUGAUCGGCCACACUGGAACUGAGACACGGUCCAGACUCCUACGGGAGGCAGCAGUAGGGAAUCUUCCGCAAUGGGCGAAAGCCUGACGGAGCAACGCCGCGUGAGUGAUGAAGGUCUUCGGAUCGUNAAACUCUGUUAUUAGGGAAGAACAUAUGUGUAAGUAACUGUGCACAUCUUUGACGUACCUAAUCAGAAAGCCACGGCUAACUACGUGCCAGCAGCCGCGGUAAUACGUAGGUGGCAAGCGUAUCCGGAAUUAUUGGCCGUAAGCGCGCGUAGCGGUUUUUUAGUCUGAUGUGAAAGCCCACGGCUCAACCGUGGAGGGUCAUUGGAAACUGGAAAACUUGAGUGCAGAAGAGGAAAGUGGAAUUCCAUGUGUAGCGGUGAAAUGCGCAGAGAUAUGGAGGAACACCAGUGGCGAAGGCGACUUUCUGGUCUGUAACUGACGCUGAUGUGCGAAAGCGUGGGGAUCAAACAGGAUUAGAUACCCUGGUAGUCCACGCCGUAAACGAUGAGUGCUAAGUGUUAGGGGGUUUCCGCCCCUUAGUGCUGCAGCUAACGCAUUAAGCACUCCGCCUGGGGAGUACGACCGCAAGGUUGAAACUCAAAGGAAUUGACGGGGACCCGCACAAGCGGUGGAGCAUGUGGUUUAAUUCGAAGCAACGCGAAGAACCUUACCAAAUCUUGACAUCCUUUGACAACUCUAGAGAUAGAGCCUUCCCCUUCGGGGGACAAAGUGACAGGUGGUGCAUGGUUGUCGUCAGCUCGUGUCGUGAGAUGUUGGGUUAAGUCCCGCAACGAGCGCAACCCUUAAGCUUAGUUGCCAUCAUUAAGUUGGGCACUCUAAGUUGACUGCCGGUGACAAACCGGAGGAAGGUGGGGAUGACGUCAAAUCAUCAUGCCCCUUAUGAUUUGGGCUACACACGUGCUACAAUGGACAAUACAAAGGGCAGCGAAACCGCGAGGUCAAGCAAAUCCCAUAAAGUUGUUCUCAGUUCGGAUUGUAGUCUGCAACUCGACUACAUGAAGCUGGAAUCGCUAGUAAUCGUAGAUCAGCAUGCUACGGUGAAUACGUUCCCGGGUCU
rnacentral:rRNA from 1 species